GGAACGAAGCUUUUUCAAGUAUUUGUUUUGCAGUAUUGAAAAACUCCUCUGUGAGGAGGGGGCACAGCAUUCUCCCCUGAGUGUGAAGCUGGCCCUUGUUGCUUGGCUGCAGCUGCCAUUUGCCACUGAUGAUCAUUCUUCUCUUCUAGGGGAGUAAGAAGGAGAGGACGCAGUCUGAAUGGU
rnacentral:snoRNA from 1 species